UGAGUCAACCAACUCUGAAGACACUUACAGCAGGGAAGUCAUGGCAGGAUCCAAAAUCGAAAUAGUUCUUUUGAUUUUCGUGUUGGUGGCGUAUCAGUCGUCAGGAGCCCGUGAAACUGAAGUGCGUCAAAGAGAUAUAAAAAAGGAAAUGGAUUGAAAAAUACCUGGAAGGAAAUUAUUCAAUUUGGCACCGGCAGAAGAAUAAAACUCAGAGCUACGAUGAACUUCUGGUUGGCUCAAUAGGUACUCAAUGGAAUAAAGAUGAGCUUUUAGUCUACCAAAGCGAAAAUAACGAGUGCGGUGUGUUCAAGAUAUUCACGAGAGGAAAACCUAUUGAUGUGUUCUCAGUUGACCUUCGAGUGAAAAAUUCAUCGGUUUCGCAAGGGCCAACUCCUGAAUGUGUGAAAGCAUACGUUAAACGUUUAAGAAAACGCAGAAGCUACAACCUGUAUUCUCCAGAUUGUCAAACGAACGCAAGGGAUCACACAGAA